CAUCCCGUGGGCACACAUCCCCGGGAACUGUACAAUGUGGAAUACUGUAACAUUAGAGCAAACGCACAAGGUGCCUGAAUAACAAAACAAAGGUUGAGAGAGGUGUAUUCUGCUAUGAGAGCGCGGAGAGCUCGCGCUCUCUACGGCUUUCUGAGGGGAACGAGAGCUCCUACUUGAUGCUGCUGGCGGAAAGUGCGCGCUGCAGGGCGACGGCGCAGUCACAUGCGCCCAUCAAAGCCUCUGCUGCAAGCGGGAGGAACCUGGCAGUGACAGGCCGAAUCAAGGCCUACACAGGAAGGAGUACUGGAAGGACUGAGGAGAUCUUGUCUUAAUGUACAGACAGACCAGGAGGCAAGUUGCAGCGUCGACCUCGAUACUGGCUGGCUAGAGCCAUGAGUUAAUUCAAAGGCGAGCUGGCAGCAGAGAGAGGCCACCUUGGGCAUAAGAGGUGAGGCCUACGCUUAACAUCACACCUCCAGCUAACCCCACCCCCAAUCUCCAGCUUCAGCCAGACAUUCUCAAAUUGAAUUAAGGUCCUGUUCUGUGCUGCACCCCCACGGACCCCUUCGAGAGCCCUCCUGAACCCCCUUGGCCCGGUCCUGUUCCCCUCAUCCAGCCGCCUCGGACUAAUUAAAACCGAUGUGGCCUUGUCUUCGCUGGAUUACCCCUAACGAGGAUUCACUGACUCCACCAGCAUGUGCCUCUUGAUGAGAGAGAGAGAGAGAGAGAGAGAGACAGAGACAGAGACAGACAGAAAAAGAAAUGGGAGGAUUUGUCCAGGGAACCUUAGCCUUGAAAUCCAACACUUAAUUCACUACAGAUGAUACAGAAAAGGUGGAAGAGAGAGAGAGAGAGAAAGAGACAAAUAUACUUAUGUUGAUAGUUUAAAUCACUAGUGUGUGUAUUGUUUUAAAAACUGUUAGUGAAACAAUUGAAACGUGGCCUUAUUGUGAAGAGAGUCAUAAAAUGGACCUCUGGACAGCCCUCUAUGAAUCCAUUUGAUUCCAUCAUACAGAGAGAUGAAUGCCAAUUCUCUUUCUUUCUUUCUGUGUGUGCGUGCCAGGGGCAGAGAAAAAAUUAAAUUCUCUGUCUUUGAUAAUGCAUUAAUAAUAAAAUGCAAUGUUA